rnacentral:snRNA from 1 species
AUUCAUUCCUGAACAUAUACUAAAAUUGGAACAAUGUGGAGAAGAUUAGCAUGGCUUCUGCGACACGCAAAUUCGUGAAGCGUUCCAUUUUCUU